CCUACGGGUGGCAGCAGUGGGGAAUAUUGGACAAUGGGGGGAACCCUGAUCCAGCGACGCCGCGUGAGUGAAGAAGUAUUUCGGUAUGUAAAGCUCUAUCAGCAGGGAAGAAAGAAAUGACGGUACCUGACUAAGAAGCCCCGGCUAACUACGUGCCAGCAGCCGCGGUAAUACGUAGGGGGCAAGCGUUAUCCGGAUUUACUGGGUGUAUAGGGAGCGUAGACGGCGAUGCAAGUCUGAAGUGAAAGGCGGUGGCCCAACCCCCGGACUGCUUUGGAAACUGUAUGGCUGGAGUGCAGGAGAGGUAAGUGGAAUUCCUAGUGUAGCGGUGAAAUGCGUAGAGAUUAGGAGGAACACCAGUGGCGAAGGCGGCUUACUGGACUGUAACUGACGUUGAGGCUCGAAAGCGUGGGGAGCAAACAGGAUUAGAUACCCUAGUAGUC
rnacentral:rRNA from 1 species